UACGGGGGGGGUAAGCGUUGUUCGGAAUUACUGGGCGUAAAGGGCUCGUAGGCGGCCAACUAAGUCAUACGUGAAAUCCCUCAGCUUAACUGGGGAACUGCGUGUGAUACUGGAUGGCUUGGAUUUGGGAGAGGGAUGCGGAAUUCCAGGUGUAGCGGUGAAAUGCGUAGAUAUCUGGAGGAAUACCGGUGGCGAAGGCGGCAUCCUGGACCGACAUUGACGCUGAGGAGCGAAAGCUAGGGGAGCAAACGGG
rnacentral:rRNA from 1 species